rnacentral:lncRNA from 1 species
UCUCAAGAGGUAUAUAAUCCCUUAAAGAAUCAGAAAAUUGCCUCAUUUACACCCAACCCAAACCCUAAACUCCUCUCAUCACUCUCUCCCUUCCUCUCUGUUGCCGUAAGGCCCGCGUGCCGAAAUUCACCACCAGCGGCGGAGCACCUCCAAACACUACCAAAAUUUGGCCUCUACUCAUCUCAACCCCUCUUUCCAAAUCCACAGAUCAAAUCUUUUUAAUCCCUCCCAAACUCGACGAAUAAACUAAAAUCCGAAACCCUAACCCAAUUUAUUUUGUAAAUUCGUCGAGUUUUAGACGUAUUCAUCAUAAAAUAAUUACAUAGGUGUGUAGAGAUCCACAUGAUCUAUCAUUCUAUGUUGGUUUCAACCCAAAUCUCCUACAGAAGUCUGGCUGAAUUCCGGCAACCACCGCUCCGCGCCCUUUUGUUUUAGCUUACUGCGACCCAAAUACGUUCGCUUCUCUCUAUCACUUCAUUAAAACUCAUUGGAUUCAAUGUGUGGUAUAUGCUCAUUUCAAGGUCGAACAACCACUAUCGAACACCCCCCGUGUUUUCUCGCUGCUUGGGCUGGCCUCGAUAUCCUCGUAUGGUAAAACCUAUAUCCAUUUCCCUCUUUUUUGAUUUUUGGUUUGUUUAUUAAGACUAGGAUCAUAUUUUAGUUUCCCUCUUGUUUAAUCAUAAAUAAUUGGGUAAUAUUCAAUUUCAAUUAGUUUCAGUUUUGCUUUAAUAUCGUUUAUAUCAAUUAUAGGCAGUUUUAAUUGUUGGUUUCAACUAAUGUACAUUAGUUUGAAUUCUGCAUUUUGUUCUAAAGUUUAAGUCUUUUGGUCAAUAUGAACUUGUUUAGUCUUGUUUGUAUUAGUCGCAUUAUCCGUUUUGAUUGGAAUAUCCUGGAAAGCAUGAUCUAUUAUGUUAGUUUACCUUGUUUUACCUUUUCAUGUUUAGCUAGAUGAUAUUUGCUAGAUUCAAAUCGUGUUUUUAUUUGGGAUUAGCAGUUGGUAGUUUGGUUGUUUCAUGUUGGUUCAGGAACAUCGUUUGACAGUUAGAUUGAUUAGCUUCUAGUUAUGUUUGUUAGUUCUUCUUUAACUGAAUCAUGUAGGUUAUAUGUAGUUUAAUUAGCUUGUUGAUUUGUGUUAAUUGAUCAUCGUUCAAAGGCAUCAGUGAUCUCGAUUUAUUCUGAAGUAUGGUUAAUUUGUUUAGUUAAGUUAUUGAUCUUUUCAAGUCGUGAGUUCAUCUGUUCUAUCUAUACGUUGAAUCCUUGAUGAUAGUCUGUGUUCAAAUGCUUAGCCUAUUAUCACUUCAACAGUUACGAGUGUAUUUUAGUAAGAUUUGAGUAACAUGAGUCAUGUGUUUGGUUUAAACAUAGAAUAUAGUUUGAGAAAUUAAGAAGAAAAGGAAAUAAAAGAGAAUACUUGAGUGUAGGGUCCUUUGUUUGGUAACUUUACUGUUGUAGACUGUUUUAGAGUACAAUACGCCAAAAUUAUGUCCACAAUUGGUAAGAAAAACUGUUCAUUGACCAAAAUUCUAGUUUUGGACAGAUUUUUAGUCAAAAAUCCAUCAUUUUGGAUAGAUUUUUGACAAAAUAAAAUCUGUCCCAAGAAUCCUCCUCCUAUCAUAUAAAGGCGAGGUCUUUACACAUCUUUUUUACUCUAAAAAAGACACAUCUUUACACACUAUAUAUGUCACGACCCAAACCGAUGGACCACGAUGGGUGCUUGAGUCAUACCUGUCAAAAACCCCUAAGCAUGCAUCUAGGAUGUGAACCUGUAUAACAUCUGUUGAAUUACGAAGGUAACAUACAUGAAGGAAACCUGCCAACAUGGCGUAUGUACGUAUACUUGCAGAAUAUGGUGGGCGAACCAACAUGGUUGCUAUAGAUAACUUUAACACUUAUUUAUUGCUUGUUAUAAAUAGCGUAAGUACGUUAACGUCAAGAUGAUCUCAUUCCCGAGUCUACGUUGGUUAACAAAAAUGGAAUUUUAACAUACGAAGACGCGAGAUGUAGCAAUAUACAUGAGAAAGUCUUUGAGCACAAAAGGAACAUAGAGUUUGAGAGCGUUUUAAGUGAGUUUUCGAAAACUAAAAUACUUCAAAGAACAAAGGUUCUUGAAGUUUAGUUUUUGGGUUUUCCUUUCCUGAAAGUUUGUUGAGCUUCAAGGACUAUUUGGGUUGGUUUAUCUAGUUGUUUUUUCUGUUGUUUGUUGUUGUCCCUCUUGUUGUUUGUUGCUUUCACCGCUGUUGAUUUUUAAUUCGUCCAUUGCUGACCUUUUUCUGCUAUCCAAGUAAUUCCCUUAAUGUACUGAAUCUUUGAUCAAGAAUGCAUGCAAGCGAAGCAAUUUGAGUUUCUUCAGCAUAUUUUGAGCUUUUUGAAAACAUCCUGUGGACUGGAAUAAGUGUUCAUGUGUUCGAAUCCAUCAGAAUAUCGGCUUACGAAGUUUUCUUUCAUGUAUCAAUAAUAGACAUGUAGAAGGUUUUGUGAUUAUUUCUGAUAACUUUAUCUAUGUUAGAUUAUGGAGUUGAGGAUUGUUUUAUUGUUAAACUCUUGAUGAGCUUUAUGUUUAAUAAGUAGUCUGUGUAUGUAAGAUUCCAUCUUUUGUGUUAAGGUUUACAUUUUGGAGUCUCAUUUGCCACUGUUUGUAUAUGAACGUAGCCAUAGAGUUAUUUUGAAUGCCUAUUAGGUUUAUCAUUGAGCUUUGUCCGACUCCCAUUUGAAAUAUUACUGUUGAUACCUGGAAUAGAAAACUUUAGUAAUAUUAAUGAAUACAUGGAGUUAUGUUUUCAAGGUUAUUGUUUUGGAGUUUGUAAAGAGGUUUAGAGUUGAUAAAGGUUAGUUCUCCACGAUAUAGUAUUUAUUAGUUUAUUAAGAUCAAUGGUAUUGAGUUAUAGAAUUAGCUUGGGUUAGUAAUUUGGUUACUGUCAGGAAGGUUUAAAGAAUUAAAAUAUUGAGCCUUAGACAUCAUAUUUGUCAUGGUAUUAAUUGUUAUUUGGUCAAGGUGAAUAGAUUUUACAUGUCUAAGAGUGGAUCAUUUUAUUGAGUCAUGG